GGUUAAGCGACUAAGCGUACACGGUGGAUGCCCUGGCAGUCAGAGGCGAUGAAGGACGUGCUAAUCUGCGAUAAGCGUCGGUAAGGUGAUAUGAACCGUUAUAACCGGCGAUUUCCGAAUGGGGAAACCCAGUGUGUUUCGACACACUAUCAUUAACUGAAUCCAUAGGUUAAUGAGGCGAACCGGGGGAACUGAAACAUCUAAGUACCCCGAGGAAAAGAAAUCAACCGAGAUUCCCCCAGUAGCGGCGAGCGAACGGGGAGGAGCCCAGAGCCUGAAUCAGUGUGUGUGUUAGUGGAAGCGUCUGGAAAGGCGCGCGAUACAGGGUGACAGCCCCGUACACAAAAAUGCACAUGCUGUGAGCUCGAUGAGUAGGGCGGGACACGUGGUA
rnacentral:rRNA from 1 species